rnacentral:rRNA from 1 species
AUUGAACGCCGGCGGAAUGCUUUACACAUGCAAGUCGAACGGCAGCACGGACUUCGGUCUGGUGGCGAGUGGCGAACGGGUGAGUAAUACAUCGGAACGUGCCCAGUCGUGGGGAUAACGUAGCGAAAGCUACGCUAAUACCGCAUACGAUCUAAGGAUGAAAGCGGGGGAUCGCAAGACCUCGCGCGAUUGGAGCGGCCGAUGGCAGAUUAGGUAGUUGGUGGGGUAAAGGCUCACCAAGCCGACGAUCUGUAGCUGGUCUGAGAGGACGACCAGCCACACUGGGACUGAGACACGGCCCAGACUCCUACGGGAGGCAGCAGUGGGGAAUUUUGGACAAUGGGCGCAAGCCUGAUCCAGCCGUUCCGCGUGCAGGAUGAAGGCCCUCGGGUUGUAAACUGCUUUUGUACGGAACGAAAAGGCUCUGGUUAAUACCUGGGGCUCAUGACGGUACCGUAAGAAUAAGCACCGGCUAACUACGUGCCAGCCGCCGCUGUAA